rnacentral:ncRNA from 1 species
UACUCCGGGGAUAACAGGCUGAUACCGCCCAAGAGUUCACAUCGACGGCGGUGUUUGGCACCUCGAUGUCGGCUCAUCACAUCCUGGGGCUGAAGCCGGUCCCAAGGGUAUGGCUGUUCGCCAUUUAAAGUGGUACGCGAGCUGGGUUUAGAACGUCGUGAGACAGUUCGGUCCCUAUCUGCCGUGGNCGUUNGAGAUUUGAGAGGGGCUGCUCCUAGUACGAGAGGACCGGAGUGGACGAACCUCUGGUGUUCCGGUUGUCACGCCAGUGGCAUUGCCGGGUAGCUAUGUUCGGAAGAGAUAACCGCUGAAAGCAUCUAAGCGGGAAACUUGCCUCAAGAUGAGAUCUCACUGGAGCCUUGAGCCCCCUGAAGGGCCGUCGAAGACUACGACGUUGAUAGGUUGGGUGUGUAAGCGCUGUGAGGCGUUGAGCUAACCAAUACUAAUUGCCCGUGAGGCUUGACCAU